rnacentral:rRNA from 1 species
CCCCUAAAAGCCGUCCCAGUUCGGAUUGCAGGCUGCAACCCGCCUGUAUGAAGUUGGAAUCGCUAGUAAUCGCGGAUCAGCAUGCCGCGGUGAAUACGUUCCCGGGCCUUGUACACACCGCCCGUCACACCAUGAGAGUCGGGAACACCCGAAGUCCGUAGCCCAACUUAUCUGAGAGGGCGCGGCCGAAGGUGGGUUCGAUAAUUGGGGUGAAGUCGUAACAAGGUACC